rnacentral:rRNA from 1 species
UGGACGUAUCAGAAGUGCGAAUGCUGACAUGAGUAACGAUAAAGGGGGUGAAAAACCUCCUCGCCGGAAGACCAAGGGUUCCUGUCCAACGUUAAUCGGGGCAGGGUAAGUCGACCCCUAAGGCGAGGCCGAAAGGCGUAGUCGAUGGGAAACGGGUUAAUAUUCCCGUACUUCUUACAAUUGCGAUGGGGGGACGGAGAAGGCUAGGUGGGCCUGGCGACGGUUGUCCAGGUUCAAGUGCGUAGGCUUGAGAGUUAGGUAAAUCCGGCUCUUUUUAAGGCUGAGACACGACGUCGAGCACCUACGGGUGUGAAGUCAUUGAUGCCAUGCUUCCAGGAAAAGCCUCUAAGCUUCAGAUUGUAAGGAAUCGUACCCCAAACCGACACAGGUGGUCGGGUAGAGAAUACCAAGGCGCUUGAGAGAACUCGGGUGAAGGAACUAGGCAAAAUGGUACCGUAACUUCGGGAGAAGGUACGCUCUCGACGGUGAAGUCCCUCGCGGAUGGAGCUAUUGAGAGUCGCAGAUACC